rnacentral:lncRNA from 1 species
CUGUCGCCCAAAUGUCACAGCCAGCACACGAGGACCUGAAAGAGGAGUAAAAGGAGGGCAAAACCUCUAAAGCAUGUUCCUGAGCAUACCUCUCACAGGAGUUGCAUUUCUCUGGGCGCUGAGUAUCUGCCAUCAGCGGUGUCUGUCGCUGCUCAGGCGACCUCCCACCAGGCUGGCGCGCGCGCACGCGCACACACACACACACACACACACACACGCACACACAUGCGCGCGCACGCACACACGCCACCCAGCAUCCAGCCGCUCCUCCCCUUCCUUGUAAUGGGAAGAACAACUGAGAAUUGUACUUUUGUCUCUGAGAUAGCUGGAGAGAAUGUUAUAAAAUGUCGUCGUGUUUAUCCUGCACAAGGGCUGGCACUGGAACCACGACACUCAGACAACUCCCGCCAGAGCUAAAGUGCGAGUCUUGCCACGCAGCAUCCUGCCCGGGGGCGGUAGGGACAAUAACCAACUCAUGACGCAUCCUCGCAUCGUCCCCACUCGGUUCCCCCGAGUGGUGCUGUGGCCACACCAGCGCCCUGAACUGGCUUGGGAAGAGCUUUUCAACCUGUGACGAAGCUUCCAGAGCAGGGUGCUGAGAAUGGCGAGCAAGCGGCCUUCUCAUGCAGGGGAACUAAACAGAGGAGUCCAGCAGCAGCCUGGAGUGGGCCGGGCCGCAGGGCCCUCCUGAAGUCUGCUCACCAGCGAGGACCUUGCCCAGGAAAGAGAUGAUGUUCCCCGUAGGCGCUUAGUGACAAUACACACUCCCCUCACUUGGAACACAUUCAUCACAUUGUUCUUCCCACUUCCUGAAGAGUUCUGGAGUCCUCCUCCCUCACGUCCCCAUGUGGUGUGGUCCAAAUACUGUGACUGCUGCUACUGCAUGCCACCCCGUGGAAAUGCAGGCUCCAAACACAGCACUGUGUGUCCUCAUUUACAUUCUGUACCAGACUUGGCACUGUGUGACUUCUAGCUCUGCUCCAAAGUCAAAAUGACCCUAAAAGAUCAAUGCUUUGAAUCAACUGGGGAUGUCAAGGCAGGGCAACCGAAGAUAUUCACGAAAGGACUGAUGGGAAUGUAAAAUGUGACUGUCCAUCAGGAGAAAUGUGGGAGAUUCUGGCAGAAUUCUUUCAGGUACACUGAUGUUCAAGGUCAUACACUGCAGCUUUGUUUGAAAUAACAAAAUACUAGGCAAGUCCUUACCAUUCAUAACAAGGGGCAACAGGGCCGGGGAUUUAGCUCAGUGAUUUCACCACCUGCUGCGCAAGCGCAAGGACCCAAGUUCGAACCCCAGUACCAAAAAAUAAAUAAAUAAAUAAGG